GAAGCGAGAGGGAGGCCCGCGGAGGGCACGUAAGAAGCGGCGCAGGGGUGCACUGGAGCAUGCAGAGCGAAGUACCUAGAGCAGAACGGCAGAAGUAGCAGGAGAGCAGCACUCAAAAGCAGCAGCAGGCAACAGCCCUUGAAAGCGGAAAGAAGCGGCACUGGCGGAACGGGCUCCCUUGACUCGCAGGCUGGUAUUGGACCCUUGGUGGACUGGAGGGACAGCGUGUACGUGUCUCCCCCGUGCACACUGAAUUCAGAAGAGGAGGAGCUUCGGAUCCGGUUGGAAUUGUGCAGCCAUAGGAAGUUGCCUACGGGACUGAGAUCUAAGGUGGAGAGGCUAUGCCUUGUGACAUGCCCCAGAUGUGGAAAAGCCAAGGGGAAAUGAAAGCCAAGAUCCUGCAGGAAUAAACAAUAGAAUCCACAGAUCAAAUGACUAAUAAGGACAACGAUAAGCCGGAAUGCUAAGCAACGGAAUGGACAGAGCACCGGCAGAGUCUGUUUUCAAGAUUUCAAAAAUGUCAGCGUCAGGAUACGAUAUUUCUGCCUGAGAUUCCCUCAUUUCACAUCACACCCGGAGAUCAUCAUUUUGAACAUACGCUAGCUAAUCUGCAGCAACUGACCCUGGAUGGAAAUGUCAGUUGGAACCAAGAACUCACUUGUUCCUUCGGUCUUGAAAUUAUUCCAGAGAGCCAUAUCGAUUGCUUGUGCGUUACCGAAUCAUUUUCUGCUGCUAUGUCCAUCAGGAAUAGCUAUUUGUGGAUGAGAUAUCUGCGGUCUCUUUUGACGCAUGUUAAUUAAUAAAAAGAUUUAAUCGCCAA